UAACCCUCUCUAGGCAAUAGAUAUCUUCUCUCUUGCAUGAAGAAAGAACGGAAAGAAAAUCCAUGGUUGGAAUGAAAGACACCCUCCCCCCAUCCAUUCUUUCUUCGCAAGCAAGUCCCGACCCCAUUCGUUAGGGGGCGGGCCCGCCUGGGUGUCCCUC
rnacentral:rRNA from 1 species